rfam:Anolis carolinensis unplaced genomic scaffold chrTn0001, whole genome shotgun sequence.
GGAUGUGAGGGCGAUCUGGCUGCGACAUCUGUCACCCCAUUGAUCGCCAGGGUUAAUUCGGCUGAUCUGGCUGGCUAGGCGGGUGUGCCCUUCCUCCCUCACCGCUCCAUAUGCGUCCCUCCCGAAGCUGCACGCUCAGUGGAAGAGGACGAUGUCCCAGGUAUAGAAGGAGUGUACCGAGGUCUCCAGUCUUCGGUCCCGGGUAUAUGAUAGCUGCGCUCCCCUGCUAGAACCUCCAAACAAUUCUAAUAUAGCCCAAAGGACACACCCAUACAUGAGAGUACAAUUCUAGGCAGGUUGAGCAUGAUCAGUGACCAUAGAAUGUUAGGUUUUUCU